rnacentral:misc_RNA from 1 species
CUGAUCCACGCUCGCCUAGGUCGCCCGCCGUCGCCCAGCUCGGUGCCCUCCCUGCUCCUCCAAGCCUGCGUCCUCUGCCCUCAUAUUCUUCCUCAGGUCCGACCGGUGCCCUCAUCCCCCUGGCUGGCGCUCGGCUUCCUCCUCCUGAAGUCCCUCCGCGCGUCGGAUUUUGAGCUCCAUUCAUGGCGCGCUCCGGGUCCGACAGAAACAAGCUCCUUCUCCAGGACAUCCUCUCAAAUUUCAGAUGGAGCAGCACCAGCAUUGGCGUCCAGUCAGUCACAAGGCCAAACAAUAAAGCUGCUGAUUCACCUCGUCUCAAAACGCCUGCGAGAUAAGAGAGUUUGA